GCAAACUUGGUCAUUUAGAGGAAGUAAAAGUCGUAACAAGGUCUCCGUAGGUGAACCUGCGGAGGGAUCAUUACAGAGUUCAUGCCCUUCGGGGUAGAUCUCCCACCCGUGUAUACAUACCUCUGUUGCUUUGGCGGGCCCGCCUCGGCCACCGGCUCCGGCUGGUGAGUGCCCGCCAGAGGACCCCAAACUCUGAAUUUUAGUGUCGUCUGAGUACUAUUUGAAUAGUUAAAACUUUCAACAACGGAUCUCUUGGCUCUGGCAUCGAUGAAGAACGCAGC
rnacentral:misc_RNA from 1 species